GGAGGGUUGGCAGAGCGGACGAAUGCACCGGUCUUGAAAACCGGCGGGCGCCUCGCGCGUCCCGAGGGUUCGAAUCCCUCACCCUCCGCC
rnacentral:tRNA from 1 species